CAGGUUUUGGUGUUUGUUUGACUUCAGUGGUCCCCCCCCCCCCACUCCACUCCACUGUAACAGGUAGAAAGGCGAUAUGCCCACUAAGAAAAUGAAACAACCUUUAUCAAUUUUAACACAAGAAAUUAACCUCUUGUUGAAUAUUUUCAUGAAAGUUGUUAAGCUGCAAACUACGCCGUUUAUUUGAGCUAGCUAAUUAAUUAGUGCACUAUCAAGGGAAGGUGUGUAAAUGACGCAAGGGACUUCUGAUUCCCAUGAUGGACGACAGUUUGAUGACACAGAUCCCACGAACAUUAACUCUUUCUCCCCAGGGAAACAGGUGGCGCUACGUUGAGUGGUGGUAGACUGUGCCACUCUGCACCCAACUGGCAAAGAAGAGAAUGAUCUCCUGCAGUACAGUACGCCACAGCAGUAUUGAGGAAAGCUGCAUGGAGUUGGCCUGCUGGCCUCACGUUAAACACUAAAGGGCACACAAGGACUGGCACGCAGAACAAACUCACACCAACAAGCACAAGAGAACACCAGGAGCACGGGGCUGGUUUUAAUUCACAUUUUUAUUGGAGAUCCAAAGUCAAUUAAAUCCCAUCUACAUAAGGGAUAUAAAUCUCACACAGAACUAAUUAUGAAAAACUGAAAAUUUAAAUUUUCAUAGAGGGGGACAGAACAAGAAGGGGAGGUCAAAAGGGAAUGUAAAAAAAGAAACAAUGGCACAAUGAACAAAAAAAUCUAACCAA